rnacentral:miRNA from 1 species
GCUGACACAUCCCGGCCAAUCUCCAGCAGACCCUCCCUCCCAGACCCUCCCACCUCCUGGACAGCAUCCAUGUUGAAGGCAGCUUCAACAUGGAUGCUGGAUGCUGUCCAGGAGGUGGGAGGGUCUGGGAGGGAGGGUCUGCUGGAGAUUGGCCGGGAUGUGUCAG